UACGAAGGGGGCUAGCGUUGUUCGGAUUUACUGGGCGUAAAGGGCGCGUAGGCGGUUUUGUAAGUCAGGCGUGAAAGCCCCGGGCUCAACCUGGGAAUUGCGCUUGAUACUGCGAGACUUGAAUCCAGGAGAGGAUGGCGGAAUUCCCAGUGUAGAGGUGAAAUUCGUAGAUAAUGGGAAGAACACCGGUGGCGAAGGCGGCCAUCUGGCCUGGUAUUGACGCUGAGGCGCGAAAGCGUGGGGAGCAAACAGG
rnacentral:rRNA from 1 species